CUCUCUGGGUCCCUGUCCCCCUCUCUCUGGGUCCCCGUCCCCCUCUCUCUCUGGGUCUCCGUCCCCCUCUAGGAAAGCCUGAAGCUCCCUCACCCCAUGGGCCCAGCCCCUUCCUUUGUCUGUUCCAUCUGCACAGAAGCCUCUGCAGUCUCUUCUAGCACCUUCCCCAGGACCCCCAAGGGCCCACGAAGGCGGGGGAGGGUCCUGGAAGGAAGUGGGCGGAGCCUUUGCCGAGUCAGAAACGGGGCGUGUCUUGCGCGUGCGCAGAGUCCCCGGAGAGAGUGGAGCGACCCGGUUCGUGGUCUGGGCUCCGGGACCCGGGGCUCUCGGUCCUCGCCCCGACCUCUCUCAGGACGCAGCGGCCUCCUCCCUCCCAGCUCCUUUCCUGUCCCCGUGCAUGAGCCUGCCGCGCCGCAGGGGUCCUGAUGGGCUCUUCAGGGCUAAAGGGGCGUCUGGACUGUUGUCCACUGCCAGGGGCGGUGAGGUGGGGGUGCGCUGGGAGCCUCAGGGCUGCAGCCCCUUCUCAGUGACCUCAGGUCCUCCCAGGCGCCACGGCUCAGGGUCCACCCUUCUGAGAAACAGCUAAUGUCACUCUUUCUGCCCUUGAGAGGGUUGAAGGACGACCCUAGGGACAGUGCUGGGCACGGAUCCAGACCAAGUUCCUUUCAGUGAAUGAGAGCGACUCACGCUGCCAUUGGUCGUCGUGGCCGUAUUCUCCUGAGAAGCAGCACGUGGUCCUCCGCGCAUCCAUUGGUCUAAGAACCACCUGCAUUUGCCGUGUGCUCUGCCCGGGCCCUGGGAUGGACACUGGGGAUUCCAGCUGUGCACAGAACAGCAACUGCCACAUCUCUUUGGACGGCCGUGUGACAGAGGCAGAGGCUGAGUCAGGCUGUGGAUUGCCAGCAAGCUCCAGCGGGACCAUGACCUGCCGACAGCUCGACUGCAAACUUCUAACCUCCAAAAUUGUGAGACGAUAAAUUCCUGUUGUUUAAGCCAACGAUUCUGUGGUCCUUCGUUACCACAGUCCUGGCAAACCAAGACACCAGAGUGAAAGCAGCCAUCGACGACACGUAAAAGAAGGAGGGAGCAUGGCUGUGUUCCAAUAGAACUUUAUUGAUGAGCACUGAAAUUUGAAUGUCAUAUAAUUUUCAUGUGACACAAAAUAUAAUUCUUCUUGCAACUUUUUUCCCAACUGUUUAAAAGGUAAAAAACAUUCUUAACUCAUGGGUAGUACAAAAAUAGGCAGUGGGCCAGAUUUGGCCUGUGGGUCCAGUUUUCCGAUUCCUGGUUUAAAUUUGGGAAUCUGUGGGACUUAAGUAAUCAGCUAGGAUGAGGUCUGGAUAUUUCAGAGGAAAAUCUUUUCCUUGCUUCUUAGAACAAUGCAUCCAGAGAGGGAAAGCCGCUUUGGAUAGAUUUGUAAAUGCUUGUUUCAAAUGCUUGGGUCUGGACGAGACCCUCCUUGAAGGACUGAAAAAAUGAGACUUUGCACUCCCUUUUUCUCACGCUCUUUAUUUCUCUGGUUUUCUCCCUAGCCUAGGACUCUUGUCCUGAAGCUCGGCAGAGCCUCUGUGGAACUUGACUUCUGCAUACUCGGCUUGGGUUUCCCACUGUCUGAGGCCUGGGAAGUUGAGAACAGCAUAGUGGAGCUCUUCUGAGCUCGUCUCUGAUUCUGGGGCUUGAGUGAGUGAUUUGGAUCCUGGUCCACUGAGGGUAGCAAAACGUAGCUCCUUCGGGUUCUUCGAUUUCAGGGUGUGAGGGUCUGGCGGAGGGGUCUGGGAAGGACCGGCUGGGUCGACCCUCUGAUUCCGAGCCUAAGGGAAUAACAACCAUCCUUCAUUCAUUUGUUCAAGGAAUAUUUGAGCACCGCCAGGUGCCAGGCACUGU